rnacentral:ribozyme from 13 species
AGAGAAAGAGAGAGAAAAAGAGAAAAGAAAGGAAUAGAAAAAGAGAUGGGUUUUAAGUUUGGUUUUGUUUGUUUGUUCUUUUUU